rnacentral:rRNA from 1 species
UACGAAGGGGGCUAGCGUUGCUCGGAAUCACUGGGCGUAAAGCGCACGUAGGCGGCUUUUUAAGUCAGAGGUGAAAUCCUGGAGCUCAACUCCAGAACUGCCUUUGAUACUGGAGAGCUUGAGUCCGGGAGAGGUGAGUGGAACUGCGAGUGUAGAGGUGAAAUUCGUAGAUAUUCGCAAGAACACCAGUGGCGAAGGCGGCUCACUGGCCCGGUACUGACGCUGAGGUGCGAAAGCGUGGG